GUGCUUGCUUCAGCAGCACAUAACUAAAAUUGGAACCAUAAGAGAUUAGCACAGGCCCUGCACAAGGAUGACACACAAAUUCUUGAUGUGUUCCAUAUUUUU